AUCAAAAGAAGAGGUGGCUAUUUAGAUUAUCAUUAUUUUGAUAAUCUGGUAAUAAAAUUUUUGGACGUAAUUAUUUUCAUAAAAAAAUAAUCAAACAAAAUUCGGGAGCCGACGGGUUGUCUCCGAGAGCUGGUGGCGGAGUUAGAUGACACGGUGUUGGAUGCGAGCCUGGAAAUGCCUAACGGCUCUCACAGGUGGCGGAUGAGAGCAUCAGUCGGUGAAUCUCGCAAGGCCGUUGGUGAAGGAGAGGGGAGGGGUGCAAGUAAAAUCGCACCGAUACUCCUACAAAUCACAGAGCAUCGAUCUGCUCUGUGAUUUUUAUUAGGAAGGGAAGAAGAGGGGACAGCGGCGGUGUUGGGCUGUAGAAGGUGCAGGGGG
rnacentral:lncRNA from 1 species